rnacentral:rRNA from 1 species
GCCAGUUAGCUAGCCAACCACUUGGAUUAAUACCACAACAUAAAUACCCCCUCACUACUUAGAGAGUAAGAAACAAAUCAUUUUUCCACCUUAGUAUGGGAGACAGAAAGGGACAUUUGAGCAAUAGAGAAAGUACCGCAAGGGAAAGCUGAAAGAGAAAUGAAACAACCCAUCUAAGCGCCUAGAAGCAAAGAUUAGCUCUUGUACCUUUUGCAUCAUGAUCUAGCUAGAAUACUCAAGCGAAGAGCACUUUAGUUUGAGCCCCCGAAACUGGACGAGCUACUCCGAGACAGCCUAUUAUAGGGCCAACCCGUCUCUGUUGCAAAAGAGUGGGAAGAGCUCCGAGUAGAAGUGAAAUACCUAUCGAGUCUAGUUAUAGCUGGUUGCCCAGGAAAUGAAUAGGAGUUCAGCCCCCCAACUUUUCAAGUCAUUAAGACCCUACUUUUGUUGAUUCCGAGAAGCUGAGGGAGUUAGUCGAAAGAGGUACAGCUCCUUCGAACCAGGACACAACCUUACCAGGCGGUUAAGAAUCAAAGUAACUUAGGUUAGCUGCUUCAGUGGGCUUAAGGGCAGCCAUCUGAAUCGAAAGCGUUAAAGCUCAGGCAGCGACCGCCCACUUAUUCUGAUAGAGUUUUCUACCCCCUACUAUUACUGAGCCAUCCCACGCCUCCGUGGGAAUGACCAUGCUAGAAUGAGUAAUAAGAGGGGUUACCCCCUCUCCCCGUACACGUGUAUGUCGGACCGGACCCCCCACCGAUGAUUAACGAACCCAACUGUUAGAGGGAAAUUCAAGCUUAACUAGAAACGAGAAGAGCCUGAUCCACAACAUCGUUGACCCUACACAGGAGUGCUUGAGGAAAGACCUAAAGGAAGAGAAGGAACUCGGCAAACAUGAGCCUCGCCUGUUUACCAAAAACAUCGCCUCUUGAAUAUUUUACAUAAGAUGUCCCGCCUGCCCGGAGCCUCUGGGUUAAACGGCCGCGGUAUUUUAACCGUGCGAAGGUAGCGCAAUCACUUGUCCUUUAAAUGAAGACCUGUAUGAAUGGCUAGACGAGGGCUUGACUGUCUCCUCUCCCCAGUCAGUGAAAUUGAUCUCCCCGUGCAGAAGCGGGGAUUGUAGCAUAAGACGAGAAGACCCUAUGGAGCUUUAGACACUAGACAACCCACGUCAAACACCCUUAGUCUGCUAGGAGAGAACAUUGUGGCCCUUGUCUCACCUGUCUUCGGUUGGGGCGACCGCGGAGGACAAAAAGCCUCCAUGUGGACUGAAGUAACUACCCUUCACAGCUCAGAGCCGCGGCUCUACGCAACAGAAAUUCUGACCAAAAAUGAUCCGGCACAUGCCGAUUAACGGAACAAGUUACCCUAGGGAUAACAGCGCAAUCCUCUCCCAGAGUCCCUAUCGACGAGAGGGUUUACGACCUCGAUGUUGGAUCAGGACAUCCUAUUGGUGCAGCCGCUAAUAAGGGUUCGUUUGUUCAACGAUUAAAGUCCUACGUGAUCUGAGUUCAGACCGGAGCAAUCCAGGUCAGUUUCUAUCUAUGACAUACUCCUCCCCAGUACGAAAGGACCGGGAAGAGGGGGCCCAUGCUCGAGGCACACCCCACCCCCACUUGUUGAAAUCAACUAAAACAAGUAAGGGGGCAUACCCAGCUCGCGUCAGAGAUUGGCGCCCGCAUCUCAACGUGGCGGUAACCGGCGUGCCGGGGCCUUCCGGCCUUGCCUUCU